GCUGAUGUCCAAGUGAUGACUGAACCUUUUUUCCCCAACAGAUCGACACUGUUGACUUGUAAAGCUUUUAAGCCAGUUUUGUCUGAUACAUCAGC
rfam:Xenopus laevis strain J chromosome 9_10S, whole genome shotgun sequence.